CCGUGCUAGGUGGGGAGGUAGCGGUGCCCUGUAACCCGCAAUCCGCUACAGCGGGACACAAUUCCUCGAAGAGGUCUUGUGAUGUGAGGUCGACUUUUACACGUGGUGUUGAGAGUCGGGUCCUCCGCAAUGGAAGCUUGUGAACCCGGUCAGGUCCGGAAGGAAGCAGCCGUAAGCAGGAAGUUCCAUGUGCCGGAGGGUUGCCUGAUUUGAGCCGUCGAUAGGAGUAACGCUCGGAUCGCAACGAUCAAUGAGAGGUGCGCGG
rnacentral:SRP_RNA from 1 species